rnacentral:rRNA from 1 species
AGCAGCCGCCGCGGUAAUACGUACGUCACAAGCGUUAUCCGGAUUUAUUGGGCGUAAAGCGCGUCUAGGUGGUUAUGUAAGUCUGAUGUGAAAAUGCAGGGCUCAACUCUGUAUUGCGUUGGAAACUGUGUAACUAGAGUACUGGAGAGGUAAGCGGAACUACAAGUGUAGAGGUGAAAUUCGUAGAUAUUUGUAGGAAUGCCGAUGGGGAAGCCAGCUUACUGGACAGAUACUGACGCUGAAGCGCGAAAGCGUGGGGAGCGAACAGGAUUAGAUACCCCCGUAGUCCCUGUCUCUUAUACC